ACCUUUUUAGUUUAUAUAAAAUAUAACUUUGAAGCAGUUAAGAAUGUUAGAGGUG
rnacentral:tRNA from 1 species